rfam:Trichomalopsis sarcophagae strain Alberta scaffold1117, whole genome shotgun sequence.
GUAGACGUUAGCUCAGUGGUUAGAGCACAGGCCUCUGGCUCUCGGGUCUGCGAGUUCGAGUUUCGUCGUCUACU